rnacentral:tRNA from 1 species
GGCAGAGUGGCCGAGUGGUCUAAGGUGCUAGUUUCAGGUACUAGUGUCUUCUGAUGCGUGGGUUCAAAUCUCACCUCUAUCA